GCGAUUGUAGUUUAAUGGUAAAGCACUCGUCUUCCAAACGAUAAUUGUCGGUUCGAAUCCGACCAAUUGUA
rnacentral:tRNA from 1 species